UACUGGGACUAGAAGCAUGUGCUACUAUCGCCCGGUAAAAAUUUUAAUUUUUAUAGGUACACAUUCCCAGAAAUUUACAAUGACUUGGAUUUAUACAGAUCUGUGCUUGAAAAGUUGACCCACAGAUUAACUAGCCUUGAGACUAGGUAAGCCCUUUGACAUUUUUGAGUUAAUCUCUUUAUACAGAGGGGCUAAUGGUACCUUCCUUAAAGAGUAGUAUGAACAUUCAUGAGUGUGUGUGUGUGUGUGUGUGUGUGUGUGUGUGUGUGUGUGUGUGUGUAAAUAAGCAAUGUAGUCAUUAUUGUUUGAUCAACUAGACUUAUGGACACAGUGUUCUAAGGAUACAAAGGGAGGGCUAGAGACCUGGCUCACUGGUUAAGCGUUUUUGCUAUUCCUGCAGAGGACUCAGAUUUGGUCCUGAGCACCUAUGUCAGAUAGUCCACAACUGCAAAUAACUCCAGUUCCAGGAGAUCCAAUAUCCUCUUCUGGUCUCUGUGACCACCCAAAUGCAUAUCUACUUACUUUUACACAAAUAUACUAUGCACAAAAAAAAUAAAAUAAAAUUCUUUUAACUGAGGCUUGAGAGAUGGCUCUAUAUUUGCUGCUCUUCCAGACAACCUGAAUUUGGUUCCCAGCACCCAUGGAAGACAACUCAUAAUCAGAUUAACUCUAACUCCAGGGGACCUGAUAGCCUCUUCUGACCUAUAUGGGUACCAUAUGCAUGUGUUCUCUCUCUCUCUCUCUCUCUCUCUCUCUCUCUCUCUCUCUCUCUCUCUCUCUCUGUGUGUGUGUGUGUGUGUGUGUCUCACACACAGAUGUGCAUGAGACACAUACAUAAAUUUAUAAAAAUAAUUGUGAAAGGAGAGAGGCUAGAGAAAUGACUCAUAUGUUAAGAGCAGUGGCCCUGGGUUUAAAAUCUCAUAGUGGCUAACAACUGUAUGCAAUUACAGUUCCAAGAGAUCCAAUACUCUCUUUUGGCCUCCAUGGGCAUGCCAUUAACAUGUUGCAUAAACAUACAUGCAGGCAAAAUAAACAUAAAUAAAUGUAAGUAAAACUAAUUUUUAAAAAAAUGCAGCUGUGCCUGGCGAUCCAUGCCUUUAAUCCUGGCACAUGGGAGGCAGAGGCAAGUGGAUCUCUGUAAAUUCCAGGAUAGCUUGGUUUACAUAGUCAGUCAUAGGUUAACCAAAGUUACAUUGUUACAAAACAAAACAAAAAACCAGCUCCCAACCAAAGACCACAAAGGUGCUGACAAUUUGAGUUGAGUUCUGCAUAGUCUUUGGAUAAUCAGGUAAGGAAAUGAGCACUUCAGACAGAAGAAACAGAAAUUAGGUACACAUAAGGCAGGUAGAGAAAAGGUACUUUGGAGAGCUUGGUCAUUGAUGAGGCUCAGCUCAGGUUAGACAAUCAAUGGGAUUCCAUGUCAUGCUGGUGUCUCUACAUAGUGACAAAAACUUGAUGUAUUGUUAAGAGAGUCAUUCCACAAAAAUACAUUAGUUGAGGUCAGGUCCUAACUUGGUAGUAGACUAAUUGGAGAUGGGAUAGCUAACCCUUUUAAAUUACAUUUAGGUUAUUUGUUGUAUGGUGUGGAACUCAAAGGAAAACUUGUGGGAAUCAGUUCUCUAGUCUUUAUUUCUACAAUACAAUCCCAGGAACCCAACUCAGGUCAUCAGGGUUAGUGGCAAGCUCCUUUUCUUGCUGCUGAGCCAUUUCCCUUGGCCAUGAUGACUUGUCUUGUCAACUUGACCUGUCUGAAAAGCACCUAGGCGAUUAGUAAAGCACCCCUCUGGGUGUCUGUAAAGGUGUUUUUGAGAGGAUUAACUAAGGGUGUGUGUGUGAGAUUUAUCUUGAAUGUAAAUGAUACCAUCCAAAUAUAAAUUGAGACCCAUAUGGGGAAGGGAUAAAGGAGAAAGGCCUGGUAGUGCAACACCAUCUCCCUCCUCUCCCUCCCUCGACAUCUGCUUCUGUGGCCACCAUAAAGUAAGCUGCUUGUUCACCAUCCUUUCCCCACCAGAAUGGCAUGAAAACUGUAGGAGCCAAAACAAACCUCUCCUUGCUGGUUUUGCUCAGGUAUUUUGGUAUAGCAACAAAAGUCUGACUAACACAGAGAGACAGUCCUGCUUACAUAUAGCCUGUAAAAAUGUAGGGGAAAGGUCCUACAUGCAUAUGUCCAUAACUAUCAAGCCAGAGGUCCCUAUCAUGUUUCACCCAUCAAAUUUUCUCUGUGUGUAUGUUUAUUUCACCUUCACUUAGCAACAAGAUGUUUUAAAAGACUAAAGUCAGGAUUAUAUGGAAAGG
rnacentral:lncRNA from 1 species